AUGUUAGAGGUUGAAGAACAGAGUCUGAUUGAACUUCCUCACGGGCAUGGCUGGGGUCCCUCAAUCCCAGUAGAAACCCCAUUCCCUUCCCAACAGAGGCUCAGGUUUAACUUUUCAGCCUUGGUCCCCAGGUUCAGCCUUUCCCAGACUCUUUGGGGAACCUCACUGGAGAGGAAGCAAAGCCCUAUCCAGGGCUGCUUUGGGUUAGGGGGGGGGGCAGUUGUGGCAAGAGGGCUCACCAGUUUGAAUGGUGUCUUUAGACAUCCGGAGAGCUCGCUCUGCACCUGGCCAUCCGCCUUGCUGACCAGGCCUCCCUGCCCCUGGUGGAUUUCAUCAUCCAGAAUGGAGGCCACGUGGAUGCCAAGGCCCCAGACGGGAACACGGCUCUGCACCUCGGGGCCCUGCACAACCAGCCAGACUGCCUCAAGCUGCUGCUCAAAGGGAGAGCCUCUGUGGGCACAGUGAACGACGAUGGUGAUACCGCCUUGGAAGUGGCCCGGAAGAAUAAGCACAAAGAGUGUGAAGACCUGGUGAGUGAGAGGCCAGGACUGGGCUGGGCUGGGCCAGGACCCUUCUUGGCACUCUCUCUGACCAACCACCCCUCUCCCCUCUGGCUCGGUGACAGCUGGAACAGGCCCAGGCUGGGAGCCUCCUCCUCCCAUUCCACAUAGACUAUCCCUGGGGGGUUUCCGUGGACCCCGGAUCCGAGAGCGAGGAGGAGGAAGAUGACAAG
rnacentral:lncRNA from 1 species